CAGUCGCCGCGGUAACACGGAGGGUGCGAGCGUUAAUCGGAAUUACUGGGCGUAAAGCGUACGCAGGCGGCUUUGUAAGUUAGAGGUGAAAGCCUGGGGCUCAACUCCAGAAUUGCCUUUAAGACUGCAUCGCUUGAACGUCGGAGAGGUGAGUGGAAUUCCGAGUGUAGAGGUGAAAUUCGUAGAUAUUCGGAAGAACACCAGUGGCGAAGGCGGCUCACUGGACCAUAACUGACGCUGAGGCGCGAAAGCUAGGGGAGCAAACAGGAUUAGAUACCCCAGUAGUCCCUGUCUCUUAUAC
rnacentral:rRNA from 1 species